rnacentral:lncRNA from 1 species
GAAUGUCCAAAGAAUGGUCGGGUACAACAACUCGGCCCGGGUGCAACAAGGAUACAAGUGGGAUGCCAUGCAGCUCGGCAAACAGCCGAUCAAUGAAUGAAUGCGAUGCACCGGUAUCAAACAAUGCUCUAACUCGAAUACUAUGAAGUAAAAUGGUACCUGCGACCACAUUCUCGGCUGCCGCCGCCUCCUCAGUCUGGGCCGCGUACAUGCGCCCGCUCGGGGCCUGUCGUGACCCCUCCGCCUGCCGCAGAACUGGCGGCCGCCCUGCCUGGUGAUGCGCAGAAGAUGUCCCCUGACUGGGACCUGGCGAUGCUGGAGCAGAUGCCGAAGAUGGCGCUGGCGCUGGACUCCCCGGACAGUCUGACUGGAAGUGGCCCUCCUGGCCACACAAGAAGCACCUGCCCCGGUUGCGUGUACACUGUCGUGGGUAAUGAGGACCACCACAGAUCACGCAGCGGGGAGCCUGACGACGAUCGGGUCCUCCUCGUUGAGUAGACGAGCCGCGUCCUCGCAACUGGCUC